rnacentral:rRNA from 1 species
GAUGAACGCUGGCGGCGUGCCUAAUACAUGCAAGUCGAGCGAAAAGACGACGAGCUUGCUCCUCUGAUGUUAGCGGGGGACGGGUGAGUAACAAAAGGAUAACCUACCUAUAAGACUGGGAUAACUACGGGAAACCAGUGCUAAUACCGGAUAAUACAUUGAUCCGCUUGGUUAAAUAUUGAAUGACGGAUUUGGUGUCUCCAUUAGAUGAAUCCGCGCGGCAUUAGCUAGUUGGGCAGGUCACGGCUUACCAAGGCAACGGUGAGUAGCCGAACUCAGAGGAUGAUCGGCCACACUGGAACUGAGACGCGGACCCAACACCGACGGGAGACAGCAGUAGGGAAUCUUCGGCAAUGGGCGGAAGGCUAACGGAGCAACGCCGCGUGAGUGAUGAGGGUCUUCGGAUCGUAAAACUCUGUUAUUAGGGAAGAACAAAGUUGUGAGUGACGAUGCGCGUCUUGACGGUACCUAAACAGAAAGCAACGGCUAACUACGUG